UCUUGGUCAAGCUAUUUUAUUUAUUUUUUAGAAUAAUUUCACGAUUAUCAUUUACUUUCUGCUUUAUAAAAUAGUAAUUUAAAAUUUAGGAAUCAGGAAGUGGAACAAAAAGUUUGAUAUUUAACUUAAAUUCUAGCCAAAUUAUUAUGGCCCACUGGGUGGGACAUUCGACCAGAACAGGAAAAAAAAAAAAUGUCCCACCCAGUGGGACAUUCGACCGGAAAGGGUUAAAGCUAAAGCCCUAUAACAUCUUUUCUCAACUUUUAGUUCAUGUAACCAGAAGCAAAGCUUUAAGUCUAAUAUUAGUGCAAGAAUUACUAUGGUACUGUUAUAAAUCAAUUCAUGGUGCAGGGAAUAUUGAUUGAUCAUAGUUGGAUUGUGCUUCUGCAAUCAGAGAUACCAGCGAUCUGAGAAUUGAUUGCCAGAUGUGAUGAGUGAAUUCAGAGAUGCCCUCAAAUCCUGAGACCAAAUCCUAGUUUCCAGGACCUUAAAAGAAAGAAUCUUUGGCUGUUCGGCAAAGUUCUGUACCAUAAGGCCCCAUCUUAUUAUUCAAGCUGAAUUUAGAAAUUGGCAGCAGUGCUGUGCAAUAGUAGGAGUAGUGGUGAUGUUGAAACUUACUCUAAAAUGUUCUAUUAGUUCAUUUAAAUUUACUACAGAACUAUGAUAACUUACUUUGAAGCAAGAUGCAAUAGUCAUAAAGAAAACAAUACCUGAAUG